rnacentral:rRNA from 1 species
AAAUUGAAGAGUUUGAUCAUGGCUCAGAUUGAACGCUGGCGGCAGGCCUAACACAUGCAAGUCGAGCGGCAGCGGGAAGUAGUUUACUACUUUGCCGGCGAGCGGCGGACGGGUGAGUAAUGUCUGGGAAACUGCCUGAUGGAGGGGGAUAACUACUGGAAACGGUAGCUAAUACCGCAUAACGUCUUCGGACCAAAGUGGGGGACCUUCGGGCCUCACGCCAUCGGAUGUGCCCAGAUGGGAUUAGCUAGUAGGUGGGGUAAUGGCUCACCUAGGCGACGAUCCCUAGCUGGUCUGAGAGGAUGACCAGCCACACUGGAACUGAGACACGGUCCAGACUCCUACGGGAGGCAGCAGUGGGGAAUAUUGCACAAUGGGCGCAAGC